rnacentral:rRNA from 1 species
AUUGAACGCUGGCGGCAGGCCUAACACAUGCAAGCCGAACGGUAACAGGAAGCAGCUUGCUGCUUUGCUGACGAGUGGCGGACGGGUGAGUAAUGUCUGGGAAACUGCCUGAUGGAGGGGGAUAACUACUGGAAACGGUAGCUAAUACCGCAUAACGUCGCAAGACCAAAGAGGGGGACCUUCGGGCCUCUUGCCAUCGGAUGUGCCCAGAUGGGAUUAGCUAGUAGGUGGGGUAACGGCUCACCUAGGCGACGAUCCCUAGCUGGUCUGAGAGGAUGACCGGCCACACUGGAACUGAGACACGGUCCAGACUCCUACGGGAGGCAGCAGUGGGGAAUAUUGCACAAUGGGCGCAAGCCUGAUGCAGCCAUGCCGCGUGUAUGAAGAAGGCCUUCGGGUUGUAAAGUACUUUCAGCGGGGAGGAAGGGAGUAAAGUUAAUACCUUUGCUCAUUGACGUUACCCGCAGAAGAAGCACCGGCUAACUCCGUG